CCUACGGGUGGCAGCAGUGAGGAAUAUUGGUCAAUGGACGAGAGUCUGAACCAGCCAAGUAGCGUGAAGGAUGACUGCCCUAUGGGUUGUAAACUUCUUUUAUAAAGGAAUAAAACGAGGCACGUGUGCCUUUUUGCAUGUACUUUAUGAAUAAGGAUCGGCUAACUCCGUGCCAGCAGCCGCGGUAAUACGGAGGAUCCGAGCGUUAUCCGGAUUUAUUGGGUUGAAAGGGAGCGUAGAUGGGUUGUUAAGUCAGUUGUGAAAGUUUGCGGCUCAACCGUAAAAUUGCAAUUGAUACUGGCAGUCUAGAGUACAGUUGAGGUAGGCGGAAUUCGUGGUGUAGCGGUGAAAUGCUUAGAUAUCACGAAGAACCCCGAUUGCGAAGGCAGCUUACUAAACUGUGACUGACAUUGAUGCUCGAAAGUGUGGGUAUCAAACAGGAUUAGAUACCCCAGUAGUC
rnacentral:rRNA from 1 species